UACGUAGGGAGCAAGCGUUGUCCGGAUUUACUGGGCGUAAAGGGCGCGUAGGCGGCCAGCACAAGUCAGUUGUGAAAUCUCCGAGCUUAACUCGGAAAGGUCAACUGAUACUGUGCGGCUAGAGUGCAGAAGGGGGCAACUGGAAUUCUUGGUGUAGCGGUGAAAUGCGUAGAUAUCAAGAGGAACACCUGCGGCGAAGGCGGGUUGCUGGGCUGACACUGACGCUGAGGCGCGAAAGCUAGGGGGAGCGAACGGG
rnacentral:rRNA from 1 species